rnacentral:rRNA from 1 species
UUAAUGGAGAGUUUGAUCCUGGCUCAGGACGAACGCUGGCGGCGUGCCUAAUACAUGCAAGUCGAGCGGGGUCAGUUAGAAGCUUGCUUCUAACUGACCUAGCGGCGGACGGGUGAGUAACACGUAGGCAACCUGCCCACAAGACAGGGAUA